rnacentral:rRNA from 1 species
UACGGAGGAUCCGAGCGUUAUCCGGAUUUAUUGGGUUUAAAGGGUGCGUAGGCGGCCUAUUAAGUCAGGGGUGAAAGACGGUAGCUUAACUAUCGCAGUGCCUUUGAUACUGAUAGGCUUGAAUGUACUUGAGGUAGGCGGAAUGUGACAAGUAGCGGUGAAAUGCAUAGAUAUGUCACAGAACACCAAUUGCGAAGGCAGCUUACUAAAGUAUGAUUGACGCUGAGGCACGAAAAGCGUGGGGGAUCAAACAGG